rnacentral:lncRNA from 1 species
UGUUACCUUCUGUGGCAAAAGGGACUUGGAAGAUGCAAUUAAGGAUGAGAACCUUGAAUUAGGGAGAUUAUCUUGAAUUUCCAGGUGGAUCCACUCUAAUCAUAUAAGUUCUUAAUGGUAGAAACCCUUUCUGGGCUGUGGUUAGAGAGGUGACACCAGGAGGAAGGUCAGAGAGAAGCAUCGUUUAGGGUUUUGAAGAGAGAGGAAAGGGCUAUGGAAGAUCAAACUAAGGAAUGUAGACAAUCAGCCUCUAGAAGUUGAAAAAGGCAAGGGAAAAGGUUUUUCCUAGAAAGGAAUGCAGACUUUCUGACAUCCUGAUUUUAAUGUAGUGAGUGAGACCUAUUACAUUGUUUUAGGCCACUAAAAUGGGAGUAAUUUGACAGCAUCAGUAGAAAACUAGCACACAUUGGGUCCACAUACACAACCCUAGUGUAAGCUAGAUGAUAGGAAUGGCAUGGGGAGGGGACAACUUUAAGGACUGCCACUUUCCUAGCUAGAAUUCCACUGAAGACACUAACGUGAAUAGCUUUCAAGACCCAUUUUGGAUAUAUCAUUAACAAGUCUGUCUUAGACAAAAGGAGCCCAGAAUCAUGUGGACAUGAUUUGAAUAAAGAAGAUUCACCCAUGAAUUUGAGAGAUAGCAUCAGAGAACAUGAACACAAUGGUGGUGGCCAGAAUGAUAGAUCGUUUCUCACCUCUCGCAGGGCUGCUUUCUGCAUGAAGACACCUCAAGUCUCCUAGCAGUAGUCAAUGAUACUAAUGGAUGUCCGAGCCCAGGGAUGCUAUUCCAGGCCUUGGCAGAAGUGAUGAAAUGCGGGGAAAUAAGUAAAUAUGUGAUUAUGCAAAUAGGUGUGUUGGCAGGCAAUAGGUGCACUCAAAUGCUAAAUUAGACGGCAGCCUAUCCUGAACAUGUAAGGAAUUGGAGAAGUAGUUUGAAGAAAGCUUUGGAAAUUUGAAGAUGCCACUGAGGAAAACAGCAGAUGGAAAUGACUAGAUGGCUAGAUGGUCACACAGAAGAGGAUUCUCAAGAAGUAUCAUAGACUUUGGCCGAAGUUGAAUGCCAUGAAUUUAUAGAGAUACGUGCUUAAACAAUUAUGAAUAUCUAGAGCAGUGAUAAGAAUUGUAAAAUAAAGUAAGAUAGUGGCUGGAGUGUUCA